GAGGGUCUAGCUCAGUGGCACAGCGUGUGCUUAGCAUGCACGAGGUCCUGGGUUGAAUCCCCGGACCUCCA
rnacentral:tRNA from 1 species